rnacentral:ncRNA from 1 species
AUAAAACCUAUGAAGAGAAUAGUAGCUUAAUGGAAUUUUUAGAGAGUCGAUGGUUGGUGUAAAUCGAUAAUUAUCAUUUUGUGAAUCCACCUCAGAGGGAUUGCGAUGAGCAAUACGGUAUAAUAACCGUUAUUUUAAUUAAGAGGAUCUUUUUUGAUCAAUUAGGGUGGCAACGCGGAGCCUUUCGUCCCUUUA